UAGGAUCAAAUGUGUGUCCUACCAUGCCUG
rnacentral:piRNA from 1 species